GGACAGCGAGUUCUCCCGGAUCGCGGCGGGAAGCGCAGACCUCCGGAGUCCCGGAAGGGCGCACACCCAGCCCCCGGCCAUGGCUCCGGGACCCCAUCUUCCUCGUCGUCUUGAGUGUCGUGCUGUGGAUCAGUUCCUUAAAAAUGGACGACAUAUGAAUAAAGAAAAUAGGUCUGAAAGGUGAGGAUUUCAAAGAGUAGAUCUCUUCAUUCUUCAAACUGCUGACCCCAUGAGGACAGGCACCGCACCUCUGCUUCCUGCUUGGCCUCUGUUCCUGGAGGGGAGCACAUUCGGGCCUUUCACUUGGAGAAGCUACUGGUCAGGCCUAUCUCCUCCUCUUCCUGCGGUAGUGCUUCAAUGGGAAUCACGUUGGGCGGGGUGUCCAGGCUCUGGAGAGACAGAAGCUCUGAUUCGUUAACCACUGAGCCACGACCGGAACUCCCAAAGGUCUUUUUUUUAAAGCACCAUUUAUAGGGUUCAAAGUGUCAAUUAAUCAGGAAGACAUCUUUUUUGUGUGUGUCUUUUUGUCUUUUAGGGCCGCACCCGCAUCACAUGGAGGUUCCCAGGCUAGGUAGGGGUCUAAUGGGAGCUGUAGAUGCCAGCCUACACCACAGCCUCAGCAAUACCAGAUCCGAGCUGCAUCUGCGAACUACACCACAGCUCACUGCAGUGCCAGAUCCUUAACCCACUGAUCGAGGCCAGGGAUCGAGCCUGCAACCUCAUGGUUCCUAGUCAGAUUCAACUUCACUGCGUCAUGACAAGAACUCCAGGAAGACAUCUUAAUCUUAUGUGCCAAAUAUUAUGUGCCUAAUAAUAGAGUUUUAAAAUACGUGAAGCAAAAAUGGAUGAAAUUAAAGGACAAUCAGAGACCUCUUGUGGCAAACAGGUUAAGGAUCUGGCAUUGUCACUGCAGCAGCUCAGGUACUGCUGUGGUGUGGAUUUGAUCCUUGGCCUGAGAAUCAGUCUUUCUUUCUUCUUUCUUUCUUCCUUCCUCUUCCUUCCUUCCUUCUUUCUUCCUUUCUUUCUUUCUUUCUUCCUUCCUUCCUUCCUUCCUUCCUUUCUUUCUUUUUCUUUCUUUUUAGUUUUACUGAAGUAUAGUUAAUUUACAAGGCUGUGAUAUUUUCUGCUGCACAAAAAAGUGACCCAGUGAUACAUAUACACAUAUCCAUUCUCUCUCAGAUUCAUUUCCCACAUAGAUUAUCACAGAAUUCUGUGCCAUACAGCAGGUCCCAUUGGCCAAUCAUUCUGUACCCUUCAGUGUAUGCCAAACCCUCAGCCAAUCCUAAACCCCCAGUCCAUCCCUACCCCCAAACCCCACUGUCCCCUUUGGUAAUUGUAAGUCUUCCAAAGUCUGUGAGUCUAUUUCUGUUCUGCAAAUGAGUUCAUUAUAUCAUUUUUUUAAAAAGAUUCCACAUAUAGGUGAUAUCAUAUGAUGUUUGUCUUUCAUUGUCUAACUUCACGUAGUAUGAUAGCUUCUAGGUCCAUCCAUGUUGCUGUAAAUGGCAUUAUUUCACUCUUAUUUAUGGCUGCGUAAUAUUCCAUUGUAUAUAUGUACCACAUCUUCUUUAUCGAUUCUCCUAUUGAUGGACCUUUAGGUUGCUUCCAUUAAUUGGCUAUUAUAAAUAGUGCUGCAGUGAACAAUGGGGUGCACAUAUCUUUUCAAAUAAGGAUUUUCUCUGGAUACGACGCCCUGGAGUGGGAUUGCUGGAUUGUAUGGUAGUUCUAUUUUCAGUUUUUUAAGGAACCUCCAUGCUGUUUUCAAUAGUGUUUGCCCCAAUGCACAUUCCCACCAACAGUGUAAGAGAGUUCCCUUUUCUCCACAUCCUCUCCAGCACUUAUUAUUUGUAGUCUUUGGGGGCAACAAGGGUGAAUAUGAUGCCAGCUGAGUUGGGUCAGGACUUUCAGAGAAGAACCUUGAAGGCACACACACAUGGCCUCAUCAUGACUUUUGUCUGUUGAAAUAACAAUUUGUCUCUCUAGGCCCUUCUUGCUGACAAAAUAUUAAAAAUGUAUCUUUUUUUUUUUUUUUGGUCUUUUUGCCUUUUCUAGGGCCACUCCUGUGGCAUAAGGAGGUUCCAAGGCUAGGGGUCUAAUCCAGCCCAUGCCAGAGCCACAGCAACGCGGGAUCCGAGCUGUGUCUGCAACCUACACCACGGCUCAUGGCAACUCCAGAUCCUUAACCCACUGAGCAAGGCCAGGGAUGGAACCUGCAACCUCAUGGUUCCUAGUCAGAUGUGUUAACCACUGCGCCACGACAGGAACUCCAAAGAUGUAUUUUUUAGGUAUAAUACAUUCAGGACUCAAUAAGUAUAAAAAUGCAUAUAACUGAGGCUGAGGCUGAAUUCGAUGCAGAUAUUUGAUGAUUUCAAGAUGUUUGAAAACUUUCUGUGGGCCACUGACAGGAUCAUGGGCCCUCAACUGCAGCCUGUUGUGCCCCAAGGUGUGGGAAGCAGGAAGCAGAUGCACAAGGAGGGGCCUCUGUAGCCUCAGGAGACCCCACUGGUACAGGGAAGCUUGGAGGGGAGUAGGGGUUCCAUCGGAAGCGGGGAGAGAAAGGGGACAAAGACACUCAGGCCUCCUGUGGGUUGGGAACCCCCAAGGCUCCCAUGUCGCACCCAGGGCUGCGCUUCUGGCACAACGUCGGGAUCCCUUCCUCCUGAAGAGGGUUCGGCCGGCAUUGACACUCUGUAUCUCUAGUUGGGGGUCGUGGAGUCCUCUCCUCUUCAUCUGGAGGAGACCAAGAUAAGGCUUUGGUGAUGUGUGUCCCUGGGGUCUCCCUAAAUCCUUCCUUAGCACCCACUCGCCCUCACCUUCAGCGCAAAUCGAUUUACAAAGUAAUUUGAGGGCCAGUUUCACUGCAACCCCCAUAAAGGACAACCGCCAUUCAGACGUCAUUUGUACUCAGAAUCUUUUUUUUUUUUUUUUUUUCUUGUCGUUUUGGGGCUGCGCCUGCAGCAUAUGGAGGUUCCCAGGCUAGGGGUCGAAUCGGAGCUGUAGCCGCCGGCCUACACCACAGCCACAGCCACAGCCACACCAGAUCUGCGCUACGUCUACGACCUACACUACCACAGCUCCCGGCAACGCCGGAUCCUUUAACCCACUAGGCGAGGCCAGGGAUCAAACCUGUGUCCUUGUGCAUGCUAGUCAGAUUCAUUUCUGCGGAGCCACGACGGGAACUCUCUUUUGUAUUUUUCUUUUUUUUAAAAGUCUACAAUGCAUUACUUCAGGACUGGCGGGACAAAUAUUCCAGAUCACGAGGUCCGUGGCAAGGGGGUAGGGAUAAGGGUAUAGUGAGAGACCCGGGAUAAGGAAGGGCUCUUGGGUGACUUCCCGAAAUCCUAGGCCUGCUGGGUGGGCCUUAAGACCUGGAGGCUGGGAGAAGCCGAGCACCCACCAAGAGCACAGAGCCCAGGGCUAAGAGGAGCCUGACCCAGAACCUGACCCUCAGCUACUGGGGCCGGUAUCCUGUGUUUUCACAUCCCCAGGAACUGAAAGUGGCAGUAAUGUGCCGGGCUGCUAGAUGGCAAGUAUUCUCAGUUUCCUGCCUGAGUUAUAAGGAAACCCCCUGGUAGCUGGUAGUAACUGUGACAGCCUUUGUUUACUGAUAGGAUAGGCAGUACUUUCCUUCUCUCUCUCUUGUCUUCUUCGGGCCACACAGCAGCAUAGGGAAGUUCCCAGGCUAGAGGUCAAAUCGGAGCUGCAGAAGACUGUAGUCAGAGGAGCCAGCCAACUGGGUGGCUGACGACAGCCUCCUCCCCUGCAUCUCUGACUCCUGCUCCCCCCAUCACCUUCCCUCUGUGCUCACAGUGGUUUCUCUCCCAUAGCAGGUCAAAAUCUGUCCCAGACAAUCCUGAUCCCUAGGAGAAUUCCAGAAAACGCAUCCUCGGCCCAUACUUGAAUCAUUCGCUAUCCUCAAAUGAACAAGGCUCUUUUACUCCUCCUCUGUGGACUCCUGGCCAAAAAUGCUCUCGCUCUGCCACUUGAAAGUCUUCUUCUAUCCUUUAAGGUUCAGCUCAGAUGUACUCUGGUCCAUAAAGCCCAUGGGGAGAAAAUGUCUCAUGAUUGUUUGCCAAAAUCUUUCUGUAUAUGCCAUGUAUAUAUGCAUAGGCAUAUCUAUAUGUUUUGACACAAAAGACAUACUAUGUAGUACACUCUUCCCAGUGUUUCUAAUAUAUUUUAAAUACGUUUUCCUUACUUUUUCAAAACUGAUAAUUUUACCCAGGCAGAAUUUCGAAUUGUUUCAUAAGCUUCCUCUCCCCCCCCCCCGUAAUCAUUGAAAUUGUUAUUAAAUCUACCUUAAGGUUUAAAAAGUAAUCUGGAGAAAAUGAUUAUUGUACGUAUCCAGUGAACUUCUUCUAAAGAGAGCAUUUCGCAAGCACAGUCAUCCCUCGGUGUCCCCAGGAAACUGGUUCCAGGAGUCCCCACACAAGGUUGGGCCAGGGCUGGGGUUCCCAGCCGGCGGGGGUCAUGCUGGGGCUGGGACAGAGGCAGGUCUGCACAGAACUGUUUACAGCGUUACGCAGGUGGAUGAGGACAGACCCCGGCAGCGUGUUCUCAUCUACAGAGAGAGCAGGGUAUCCCCCGGAAAGCAAGGCCAUCACCAUAGGAAGAGUGGAUCCCUGGAAGGAAGACGUUGGGCCAAGCAAAGCUCACCUCCAUCCUGCAUGUCCUGGUCUUCAGCAGAAAGCAGGGACCUGCAUCACCUGGCUCCUGGGGGUUCGCUGGGAAAACCUCUUCCUGUACCCACUGCUGUCUUGAGCGUUCCGUUGUUGCUAUCAUUGUAACGACUUCCACUUACGUUUUCCCAAGAAAAGAAGUGUCCUGAAAUUUGUGUAUCAAUUUGGGGAGGUCCCUUUGUGGCUCAGCGGUUAACGAGCCCGACUAGGAUCCAUGAGGAUGCGGGUUCGACCCCUGGCCCUGCUCAGUGGGUUAAGGAUCUGGCGUUGCCGUGAGUUGUGGUGUGGCUCUCAGACUCAGCUUGGAUCCUGUGUUGCUGUGGCUCUGGCGUAGGCCGGCAGCUGUAGCUCUGAUUAGACCCCUAGCCUGGGAACCUCCACAUGCCUCAGAUGCAACCCUAAAAAGCAAAAAGCCAAAAGCAACCAACCAAACAAAAGCAUCCGUCUAAAGGAGAUACACCAACAUACUCAAUCACGUACCUGACCAUGAACUUUACACUUAACCUCUUCUGUGUGUACCUGCUUGCUUUUCUCUGCCAUGUGGGCCCUGGUCCUGAUCUACCUUGCUGCCGCUUUGAACGGGGGCUAUUGCGUGCUGCCAACCUGUGGAGCCUUUAACAACGUUCAAAGGUAUGUUUAAGGGAGAACAGGAAGGGUUUCUUAUUUCGUUUUAAAAGUUGGGCACACUGUGUAUCCCGGUGCCCAGUAGGAAGAGCAGCCAGCUCAUCACACUCGUACUUUCCAGUUUGGAGCCCCUCCCAUUCUUGCACAUGUUCUAAUGGUCCGUUACCGCGUGACUUUUGCCUUACAUUUUCUUCUGAUUUUAAAAGGAUCCAUGAGGUAAACACAUCCUGAGAUGACUGCCCAUGAGCCGGGCCCUGUGUCAUCCCACCCCUGGGUGUGGGCAGAAUCUCUGACCUGCUUCACACCAAGAACACACUAAGGGGAUAGGAUGUCACUCCCUGACUGGGUCACAUUCUGUGGCAGAGGGGCAGGAUGCCACUCUCUUUCUCUCAGUUACACCCGCCCUCCACCAUACCUCCAGUCAGAUCUCGUCUCUCUCCACAUACCGCCCAUGUCACUUGCAGCGCCAGGGGGUGAGGUGAGGGGCACUCUCAUCAUACGCAGGAUCAUACGCUGGAAGAUAAGCAUCCUCCAGCUAGGCAACAGCGCGCAGGAGGACACCCCCAGCACCUACAGAGGCUCCUCCGAUGCUCACCGCAUGGCAGCCCCACGAGGGCCAGGGGUAGGGGCAGUGGGGGAACGCCGUUGUAGAAAUAUAAAUGGCCCAUUACUGCAGCCAUCAGAUAAUACGCCAAGGUUCCUGUGAGAAAUCUCUUUCUAACGUUGGGCUAGUGGGCUCUUGACUGUAGCUGAGGACCGGGAGGAAUCUGUCCAUGAAAAUACGCCCCGAAGCGGUACCUGGGUGGCACACGAGGUCACCCAACUCAGUUACACCUGCCCCGGGAGAAGAAGGAACAGAGGCCACAACCACUGCUGUCCUCCCCUGUGGUUCGCUCUGGUAGUUUCACGCCUGCGGUUUCCUCUCUGUGUCCUUCCUCAAAAUGGGAGAGUUCCACAUCCAACUGGGCUUCUGAAAGCACAGUACCUUCCUUCACAGAUGAGGUCCGAGAGCAGCCAGGUGGUACGUGACUGUCGUGUAAAGCCCAUCGAUGGGUGAACGGAUAAAGCAAUUGUGAGGUAUAUCAUACAUGUAUUAUAUAUGUAUAAUCACUAUAUAUAUCAUAUGUAACAAUAAAUACAAUGCAUAUGA
rnacentral:lncRNA from 9 species